rnacentral:rRNA from 1 species
AUGUGCGAUGAGGAGCAUGGUCUCUGGCGGUGCAUCGUGCCCAUGAUCUGUGUGUACGCCGUCGAGUGGCACUUGCCACAACGUGUGGCCACGCAGUUUGGGAUUUUUCAACAUACCCCACCGGGCCAGUCCACCGAUACCGGCGGCCACGCGCUCCACUUGAUGAGUGGGCAGAAGAAUCAGUCGAUCACAGACUGGGGAGAGCAUCAUAAAAAACAUGUGACGGAGUGGAACCGAUGGAGGUACCGGAAAGACGGGGAGAGGAGGGUGACUGACUGGGAUGCUUACCUGAACCGACACAUGAAGUGA